UCUUUACAUUGUUUUUUUACUAUUUUUUAUUUUAUAUAUUUGUUUAUAAUAAAUUUUAUAUAUUUUAUAUAUUUGUUUUAUAUUAAGUUGUAUAUCUUAUUUGUUUUUAAAAUAAAUUUUAGAAAAAUUUGUUUUAUAUAUAUUUUAUAAUUUUUCAAAUUUAUUUUAUGAUAUAAUAUUAUUACUUUAAGUAAUGUUUGAGAGAAACAAUAAAAUAUAUUAAUUUUUUAUUUAAUUUUUAAUCUGUUCCAUUUUUUAUUUUUUAAAU
rnacentral:lncRNA from 1 species